rnacentral:rRNA from 1 species
GAUGAACGCUAGCGGCAGGCUUAAUACAUGCAAGUCGGACGGCAGCACGGGCAGCAAUGCCUGGUGGCGAGUGGCGCACGGGUGCGUAACACGUAUGCAACCUACCCUGUACCGGGACACAACCCUCCGAAAGGGGGCUAAUAUCCCAUGACAUUGCGGAUGGGCAUCCAUUUGCAAUUAAAGAUUCAUUGGUACAGGAUGGGCAUGCGUCCCAUUAGCUAGUUGGAGGGGUAACGGCCCACCAAGGCGACGAUGGGUAGGGGUUCUGAGAGGAAGGUCCCCCACACUGGUACUGAGACACGGACCAGACUCCUACGGGAGGCAGCAGUAAGGAAUAUUGGGCAAUGGUCGGAAGACUGACCCAGCCAUGCCGCGUGCAGGAAGACGGCCCUAUGGGUUGUAAACUGCUUUUGUCGGGGAAUAAACCUGCCCACGUGUGGGCAGCUGAAGGUACCCGGCGAAUAAGCAUCGGCUAACUCCGUGCCAGCAGCCGCGGUAAU